CGGCGGCCCCACGACGCGCGGGAGCUCCGGGCCCCGCGCAAGGGCGGAUAACGGGGCCAGGUUGCUGGAUAACGGGACCGGGAGGCGGAUAACGGAGCUGGCCGGGCGGGGCGGGCGAGAAGAUAAAGGGAAUUCAGAGUCACUGUGAUGAGAGAGGGGGCAGGAAUCGCUGCCUGAUUCGUUUGGACUUGGAAGGGUAGAGGAGAGGACUGAGUCUUUGAUCACCAGCCUGUGAUCCCACUGAGGGAGAGGAGUCCUUCUUUCAAAGAACUGAAAAAGACACAACAUACUGCUGCAAACUCCGGAUCUAUAGUCUGCCCACCCACCGUGUGCCUGAGACCUGGCAGGGCUGGGUUCCUCCUCAGGCCGGUGUCCAGCUCUGAGCCCUGGGUACCAUCUCCGCAGAGUCUUCCUCUCCCUGUCACUUAGGGCCAUGGCAGCCCUCAGACCAGAGUGUCUGCUAGUGCAAAGGCUACAGACACACCGCCUUUUCCUGCUCCUCCCUCUGCCUGCCACACCCCUACCCAACCCAAAGGCUUCCUUGGGAAGCAGAUAGUUCAGACUCCAAAAUGCUAGAUUUCUUUGGAAAUGUUUUUUA